ensembl:lncRNA
CUUUAAUAUAAAACAAAUAAAUGAAAAACAAAGAAAAGACAGAGAGGUUGAGUGCGUCACAAGCAGGAAUGUGACUAUCCCUGCAACCAACAAACUUCUAAAUCAGCUGGAGGUUGCGCAAACUCUUUUGAUCAUGCUGUGACUCAUGAAUUAAAUGAUGAACAAAUGUGUGCGCAAACACUCUAUCCAAGAAAGCCUCGUUGAGAUCAUUGCUCAAAUGAAGUAACAUCUACAAGAACCUACUUGCUGAACACCUCAAUGCUCGAUUGAUCGCUGAAACCAUUUUUUCUUUUUGCCAUCAAAGUUUUCUCCUCGGGAGGAGCAACUCAGAGGAGGUCGACCAGCUUGGACCGGACAACACCAUAAAACUAAAAAGAAAAACAACAACUUUAAGGAUGCCGCACAAAAGGAGAACCCACGGUCACCACAAAGACGCAAAACAGUCGCAGCCGAGUCAGGAAACACCCAAACCGGCACCUCAGGUCUCUGCUGGGAAGCCUGCGCAGUUUGAGACUGCAUCCCAAGUCAAGAGCAAGGCUACAGUUCCUUCUCCUGCAGCUGGAUUGGCAGCUGCCGCUGGUACGGCAGCAGCACCGUCCUCUACAAAACCUAAAGAGUCGCUCAAAGACUCAGCUAAGGUUCAGGUGGAAGUUUCCUCUGUAGCAUCAGUAGCCAAACAGGCUCUUUCUACAGAUCCCUUGGACGCCUUGGCCAGCAGCCUACCUGCACCUGACCCUAUUGCCCCCUCACAGCCGUCUUUCACUGGCCCAGAGGUCAAAGAGGUAAACCAGACAGCUCUUGCUUGUGUUUGUUUGUGUGCUGCAUGGAUUUGGUGUGUUUUAACGUGUGCUGCAUGUGUCCCAGCAUGACAUCAAAGCUGAAAAAGGUCACAAGUGUGGAGAACAUGAGAGCACGCUGCCUCCAGACUACAGAUUUAAAAAUGUGGUCAGUUUGUCACAUUCUCUGUUUCCCCUUUUCUUGCUGUGUUUCUGUGCUUAUGUCAUUUUGACCUGGAUGGCAAGAAGGUUUAGAGGGAACAAAGUUUUUUUUUUUUUUUUUUGUAAAGGUUAUCAACUCUGCAAGCUUUAAAAGACAGCUCUGCUGUCAUUGUGGAGGUGAUUUAAGCCAAAUACAUUUAAACUCCAGAUUGGGGGUCUGUACAUUAUAAAGAGUCAUUCAGGUGGAUUUUUUGCCAACCAAAACCCAGUAGGAGCCACAAAGUCUUCACUCACCCUUUAGAAAAAUAAUAUACUAAUUUAUAUUUAUGUUUUUGCUUCUGACACAAUGCAUUUAAAUAAAGUAUUGCCUUUUUUGGCAUAAAUAAAACACAGACAUGAAGAGAAAAUAGCAAUUAAAAAAAAAAUAUGAAAUAGUUUAUAACUUUUGACAGAGUUUUACAUGACUGCCUUUCAAAAUAAAAUACAUCCUAUCCCACAGGAUCGUGCCAAUGCAGCAAAUGCACGAAGAAGUAUAAAGUAAUCAAUGAUUAAAAAAAAAAAUGUUUAUCUUACUGUUUCUGGUGCAUUUCAGAAACAAAUUCAUAAAUAUAACCAACAAAAACUAAAUCAGAGCUAAUUAAGUGACCCCUACCAUAUAUUAAAACCAUGAGACACACUUUAAAUCCUUGAAUUUGUUCAAAUAUAGAAAAUCUGCAUAAUAAUCAAGUGGAUUAUAACUUAAUGUAGCUUUUAUUCUGGUUUUGCUUACUUACAAUAAAUACAUUUUCUGUGAUAAAUAAGGCUCAAAAUUAAGUCCAAAUGAGUCAGUAUGACGACAAACUACAAAGGAUUGAUUGCAAAUUACGGCUACUAUUGUUAGGAUCCUUGUUGAAUGAUUUAUACCGUCCUUCAACUAUUUGUGAAUGACUUGAAUAAAGUUUAAGUAAAUUAACUUUUUUCUCACUUUACUACUUACUUUUUCUUUUACAGUUACUUUAAGAAAUGUUUUUAAACAUUUAAUUUUAUGUUUUACAUCGCUAAAGUUUAUUAGUUUGAUCAAAAAUUUUGAUUUUUGGAUAUAGUUGAAGACAAACCCCAACAUUCAGAAUAAACUAAAACCAUCAUUUUAUAAGCAAUAUCCUUAGUUAUUUACAAGCAAGCCACCUUCUGGUAUUACUUAUUCUCUCUAAUUAUUUACACUUUUGUUUUGUCAUUCUU